UAGGGAAUCUUCCGCAAUGGACGAAAGUCUGACGGAGCAACGCCGCGUGAGUGAAGAAGGUCUUCGGAUCGUAAAGCUCUGUUGUUAGGGAAGAACAAGUAUCGGAGGAAAUGCCGGUACCUUGACGGUACCUGACGAGAAAGCCACGGCUAACUACGUGCCAGCAGCCGCGGUAAUACGUAGGUGGCAAGCGUUGUCCGGAUUUAUUGGGCGUAAAGCGCGCGCAGGCGGUCCUUUAAGUCUGAUGUGAAAUCUUGCGGCUCAACCGCAAGCGGUCAUUGGAAACUGGGGGACUUGAGUGCAGAAGAGGAAAGCGGAAUUCCACGUGUAGCGGUGAAAUGCGUAGAGAUGUGGAGGAACACCAGUGGCGAAGGCGGCUUUCUGGUCUGUAACUGACGCUGAGGCGCGAAAGCGUGGGGAGCAAACAGGAUUAGAUACCCUGGUAGUCCACGCCGUAAACGAUGAGUGCUAAGUGUUGGAGGGUUUCCGCCCUUCAGUGCUGCAGCUAACGCAUUAAGCACUCCGCCUGGGGAGUACGGUCGCAAGACUG
rnacentral:rRNA from 1 species